rnacentral:rRNA from 1 species
AUGAAGUGGUGUCUCGUGGCAAAUGCAAAGUCGUCUUGGAGUAAAGUUUGCUCGCCGAUUGCCAAGGGAGGACUCGAUAUCCUGGAUCUGCAGCGCUUCAGUACCGCCCUCCGAUUACGCUGGGUAUGGCUCACUUGGCAGCAGCCGCAAACGCCGUGGAUGGAUUUUCCUCUGCUAUGUGAUCAACGUGACCAGGAGUUGUUCACGAAGGCCACGACAGUCAACAUUGGCAGCAGCUGA